UCUCGUAAAAUAUAAUUGGUGGAACUUGUGUAAAACCAAAUAUUGGAAUUUUCUAAUACCAAGAGCUGAUAUUGUUGUAGGUGCAGUCUGGUAAGUGGUAAGGAUGAACCCUAGCACCUUUGUAGUUUACUUUCUGCGGGUAAGAGAAAAACAUGAGAUAGAGGUGGUGGGUUAAUUGUCUGUUCUCGUCUCAAAUCCAAGCUGUUCUCCCUUAAUUCUCUCCUCUUUGCGCGGUGCUUCUAGGUUCGAUAGAUCUCCUCCACCGGAUCUAUUAAAAAUCAAAAGCGUUUUUGUUUCUCGGGAACACCGGCGAGGAAAAAUGAUAUGGAGGACCCUUGGGUGCCUUGGAUCUUCUAGUAAUCGCCGUCUGCGCUCAAGUAUGGGUCAGAUCUGAGAUCCGAGACCCGCCGGAUUCUGAAGCAUCGCUUCCAUCACAUUUCUGCUCAUUGUCUUGGUUCAGUCGGUCUCCUCUAUUAGUUUGAUCCAAGGUUUUUUGUAGAGCUACUCUGUUCAUUCUCUGAGUGUAAGGUGGUUGGGAGACGCACCAUCGAGGACCUUUGUCCCCUAGUCGAAAAGAUGACAUCCACGGCGCUCCUCCUUGAUCGUCUGAGCUCUCCGUCAUGCUGCUGACAUCGGUUAUUAGGUUUUUGAGGACAACCUGUUGUGGUGGCUUCAGUUGCUUCAAGGCAGAGCUCUCUCUCGUCAAUUGGGUCGCCUGUUUUCAAGGAGUUUUCAGUCCCUUAUGUGCUUUGUUUCCCUUGUUUUAAAGCUCUGACAGUCUGAUUUGGUGUUCCCGUUUUCUCUGCCACAUCUCUUGUGCCGUGUGACCGGAUAAGGAGCAUGUUGUUCCGCUUGCGCUUGACCAUAACUUGAGAUUAAUCCUUAUGAGCAUAGCCACAUGUCUUCGCUUUAUCUUCUGUGAGAUAUUAUUGAAACAACUCUGGACGAGUCAACCUUAGAAGAACCUGUGGAUGAACCUGAGUGGAUGCAACCCCAUAGAUGCCACUUUGUAGAUGAACCUGAGUAGAUGCAAACUCGUUGAUGCAACUAUGUGGAUGAACCUGAGUGGAUUCCUUAUUCCAGUGUUCAGCAAGAAGAUCCAUUUACAAUC